ensembl:lncRNA
GGAAAACUGGACGUGCUCGACUUUGCUCCCACCCACUUAGAAAGAAGCCCGACUCUAACAGGCAAGGUGGUUCUUUGGGGCAUGAGUCCGUCCUCUCGGCCAGCUGGCUUUACCAAAUAAGCUCGUCCUCCCUUGCCCCACCACCUGGCCUCGCUUCACCCACCAGUCUGUGGUGUGGCGGGCAGUAGGAGCUUGGACUCAGCAACCCUGGGGGCUGUGAGAACAGAAGAGAUUGAUGACUUGGCGUCUCCUUUUGAGGAAAAGACACUUCAGGAAGAUGGUUGUCCCUGCCUCGACCAGCUCUCGGCUCAAGCUGACCUGGGAUGUGAGUGGGAGGAGCUGCUGAAAUCCUUGCCCAGCACCUGAGCACCGUCGGCAGGAAGGCCACGGCGAGCAGCGACAUUAGGGCUGAGGACACAGGCGGAGGCAUGGCUGAGAGGCCUCAGGAGAAACCGCCCGGAGCCGUCUUGAUCGUGGCCUUCCAGCCCCAGCGUGGACCUCGGUGGAGCCGGGAUGAGCUGGCCCCUCACAAGCGUGCUUUCAACUUGAGUGGGGGAGGGGAACUGGAGGGGACCUGCCCCCUUCUUCUCUAAGGCCUUUGAGAGCAGCUACCCCUCUGCCUCCAGCACUCUGGGGAGGGAAAAAAACCUUAUGUAAAGGAGCCUGAAUUUUACAAAAAGCAACAAUGCUUGGGACUCAGCAGAGAGGGAAAACACCCAUUUAAAUACUUGAUUUGCAUCUGGAGUCUGCUCCAUCGCAGCCCGGCGCUCACAGCAGUCCGCUGGCCAGUCUGAGACAAAACGGGAGAGGAAGCCUGGCUCCCUGGAGCCAAGAGCAACCGGCCUCCCAGGACGACGCCCUGCGGAAACUGCUGGGGGCCUGCACUCCGUGGGUCAGAGCAAGCAGGGCCAGAGGCGGAGGGGCCGCGGGGGGCGCCAGGAGAGCGGGGGUCCUGCCCCGGCUUCCCCGGCGCCUUCUACGCCUCCCUUCGGAUCCUUCCGCCGCAGGUCUUCGACUUUUCCUGCCCAAACCCAAGACCAGCGGCGAAGAGCCUGCAGCUUGCGGAGCCGCUGCAUUUUGCAAGCGCUGUGUCCGUUCACGUUCUCUGGAAUCCAGUGACCUCAGCAGUAGGCUUGCGCCUUUCAUCUUCAGACCCGAAGGGCCCUCAGACCUCUGAGGGGAGGAUCUGGGGGAGCCAGGCGGCGCCUCAAAGUAGAGGCUCCCUGACACUCAGCUGCCUUCCAGGGACAGAUAUACCAUCUGAGAAACAGCAAAGCGGGAGGCAUGGAAUGAUGCC